GCGCUUAACAGCUCCAAUGUUAGUACUCUUAAGGGUGGGCAUCGCAGCUGAUCAGCUGUCCGAUAAAAAAAACAAAUUCACUAAUAUGAAGAAAUAAGCAGAAAUAUAUUUCUAAAGGGAUGAAAUUAUAAACAAAAAACAAAAGUUUCGACUAACUAAUAUGAAAAUCACAAAAGCAAGUAUAUCACGACCAAAGCGAACUCGGAUUUCAAACAGCAUACAAAUUUCGGAAGCACUUAAACGAGGCGCAGAUAAACGAGAUAUUCCUGUCCUACAGAGUGGUCGAUUGAGACCCAGUGACUGCUCGACAAAUAAAAGCCAAACUAACAAGGGCGAUGAAUGUGAAGUAAAAAACGAACCUAUUGAUGAUGACUUUUUGGGCGAAGAAUCGGAAGAUACCAUGGAGUCCAAUUUCAAUAGUAAUCCUAUUGUGAAAAACGAACUUGUUGAAUCUUUUUCGGUAGAAGUAAUCCCAAGCAAUGAGCAAUCGAGUUCGGAGCAACCUAAAGUCCCAAUAGAUUCCCCACAACAUGGGGGAAAUGGAACUGUAAAGGUACCCACCGACAAGAUGAAGUACCGAUGCUCAGUUUGUAGAAAAACAUAUUCAUACCUAGCCAAUUAUAAUGUACACCUACGGAUGCACACUGGGGACCGUCCUCACAAAUGUCCUCACUGUCCAAAAACUUUUCCAUACGAAAUAAACCUAACUCAACAUGUCCAAACGCAUUUUGGGGAGCGCCCAUACCAUUGUCCUUAUUGCUCGAAAUCCUAUGCUCGGAAUGGACCAUAUAUUUCGCAUAUCCGUAAACAUAAAAAGGAUGAUCAGUAAAAUAAAAGGAAUCAAUUCGGUCGCAUUAAAUAUCAAUAAUCAUCUAUACAAUUCUUCGUUCGAAGUGUGAAAAAUUGUGAAUUCUGCCAAUUUUUUGGUUGGAUUUUAUUCUUUUAUCUUAUAUGACAUAAAAUAUACUUAAAUAUAAUUCUAAUAAUUCAACGUUUUUGAAUAUAAAUGUCUUUUAAAUAACCAUUUGUCAGUGGGACCAGUCCAGUCGGCCGAAUAGGGUAUAGAGUGCAUGCCACAAGUUGCCGAUAAAUAUAAAAAAAUUCAACAGCUGAUCCAAAUCUCGUCUUGGAAAAUGAAAAUGAAUGAUGUCAGGGUGAAGGAAGAGUCAGUCGACGAGGACGACCUGGGGCAACAGGUUUUCCAAAUUACGGAUUACUGGUAUGAGGAACCAACAGGCCAAGAAGUGGCACAUUCCGAUAUAAAAAACCAUCAUUUAAGCCAAGAACAACUAAAAGCUAUGGAAUGCCUGGCUGAAAUAGAGUCCAAGUAUCAUAAGUGCUUUUAUUGCCCAGCAAAUUUCAGAAGCCAUUCCCGGUUUGUGGCCCACCUCCAGUCACACUCCGUACCAAGCGAGAAAAAAAUCUACGCGUGCAGUCUAUGCCCAAAAUCUUUCAAACAUUCUACAACUUUUCUAAGACACACC